rnacentral:antisense_RNA from 1 species
GCAGAAACGGGAGGUGCACCCAGGGAGCCCUGAGGCCUGGGAGACCCAUCUCCAUGGAGCACCCCACGAGGCAAGCACAGCACUCAGGCUCACCUGGGGCUGUGCCCCCUGACAGGUCUUGAGGGCCCUGAGCUCAGCACUGCUGCUGCCCCUUGUGGGGAACGCUGCUGACUGCAUGGAUCGUUGUGAAGAUGAAGUGAGAUCAUGGACAUCGAUCACUAACACAAUUUCCUGCACACAAUACAUCAGAUGUUGCAAGGAGCUUAUUUAAAGAAAUGGAAGUUUAUCGUCAUGUCAAUGCUGUAUCUUUGAAGUUUUUGUGCGUGUUUUUUUUUUUUUAAAGCAAGUAAUUCCCAUAAAAAUGGAACUCAAGGAGAAGGGAUAUCUCUUAAAGAAAUAACAGAGAUGGGGUCUUGCGAUGUUGCCCAGGCUGGUCUCCAAUUUCUGGUCACUGAGGAGCAAAGAAGCAAAAUGGAACAGAAGUGGCCUACAGUCAGAGAGUUCAUGGAAAUUUGCUGGUCCUGCCUUGAACACUCAGACCUGAAGCACACAUUCCUUUGCAUGGCUGCAGUAAACAGCAGCAUCCAGAUCCAGGGUUGGAGACCACUCUCCAGUAUUCUCCCGGCCUCCUUCAAUAGUGAUGCAUCUUAUUCCUCAAAGCAGCCAUGACGGUUCAUUCUUCAGAUCAAUAACUGCCUGCAUAGCUAUGUGCAACUGUGUCUUAGGCUACUCCACAGCCUACAGUUGUUCUCUUAAUGUCAAGAACACAUUCUUGCAUGAUUAUUGGAUUAAACAAUUGUCUUCUA